GUAUUUAAUCUUGACAAACUUGUUUGCUUUGCAGGCUCCAAACAAGGACAGCAGCUACAGUGUCAGAAAAUGCCAAAGUUCUGAGUUUUAAAUAUAGGGUUUAAUGCAGAACAGCAGCUAAAGUGUCAAAGCUCCAGAGUUUAAACUCAAGAGCUCUGUUAGCAGAAUAUCAGAAGAGAUCAGAGACUAGAACUUCUCCCUCUUGCCACCUCUCCUGUCUUUCAAGAUCAAGUAAUAUAACUACAUUCCUCUGUUUUUCAUAUAUAUGUCAUUGUUAUGGUUAAUAAUGGAAUGUGCAAUACCUUAUAUAAAUAAUAUAAGAAGGUGUAGUGCUUUUUUUUGGAUGACUGUAUUAAUCUUAGUUAUAUCAUGACUGCAUGCAUUCUAUGUUUUUGAUCUUCUAUAUAGUGGUUUCGAAAGAUUUAGGGUGGCACCUGAAAUUAGGGUAGUGCUUUUUUUAGAUGUCUUUGUUCUGUAUUGUUUAUUAUGUCUUUGUCCUGUCUCCAUUAGGUGUGCAACAAUUAGAGAUCGCAUGUAAGCAAGCUUACAUCUUACUGAUCAGUAUAACAUAUGCUUAUCUUCUUAUAAAUUUUCAUUAUCUGCUAUAAGGUUUAUUUGCAUUUGGAGUCUUAAGUUAGGCAAAAGAUAGUGUAAUCAGAAUACUUUGUGAUGGGCAUGAUCAAACAACAGAUAUUAGGAGAGAAUCACUAUAAGCCUGAGUGAUGAUAACAAAUUUAGAAAAUAGGAGCAGGGGAGUGGAGGGAGGAAAGAGGGAAAGAAUCCAACAUUUUCAAAUAAGAAGAGUU